UACGUAGGGGGCAAGCGUUAUCCGGAUUUACUGGGCGUAAAGCGCGUUAAGGCGGCCGGCUAAGUUGGUGGUGAAAUUCCAGGGCUCAACCCUGGAACUGCCUCCAAUACUGGUCGGCUCGAGUGCGAGAGAGGAAGGUGGAAUUCCCGGUGUAGUAGUGAAAUGCGUAGAUAUCAGGAAGAACACCCGUGGCGAAGGCGGCUCUCUGGAACGCAACUGACGCUGAGACGCGAAAGCGUGGGGAGCGAACAGG
rnacentral:rRNA from 1 species